rnacentral:rRNA from 1 species
GGUCGCAAGAUUAAAACUCAAAGAAAUUGACCGGGGACCCGCACAAGCGGUGGAGCAUGUGGCUUAAUUCGAUGCAACGCGAAGAACCUUACCUGGGCUUGACAUGUUUGUCGUAGAUUUGUGAAAGCUUAUCGUCACUUCGGGUGGACAAUCACAGGUGCUGCAUGGCUGUCGUCAGCUCGUGUCGUGAGAUGUCUGGUUAAGUCCAGCAACGAGCGCAACCCCUAUGGACUGUUGCCAGCACGUAAUGGUGGGGACUCUGUCCAGACUGCCCGUAUUAAACGGGAGGAAGGUGGGGAUGACGUCAAGUCAGUAUGGCCCUUACGCCCAGGGCUGCACACGUGCUACAAUGUCCAGUACAAUGUGAACCGAUACCGCGAGGUGGAGGAAAUCCUGAAAACUGGGCUCAGUUCGGAUUGUAGGCUGCAACUCGCCUACAUGAAGUUGGAAUCGCUAGUAAUGGCUCAUCAGCUACGGAGCCGUGAAUACGUUCCCGGGUCUUGUACACACCGCCCGUCACAUCAUGGAAGCCGCUCGCACCCAAAGUAUCUGCGCUAACUUCGGAAGCAGGGUCCUAAGGUGUAGGUGGUAACUGGGAUG